rnacentral:lncRNA from 1 species
CAGGCACUCAUCUGAGCUGCUCUGGUCGUGGCAGGAGGACAGGACCACAAAGGCAUUUUUGUGUCAGCUCCCAAGGAAGCACCCUGUGAGCAGAGGCUUUCUUCCAGCUGUUUCUCAGCAGGCUCAGCACCCCACACCACCAGGCAGUGUGUGCUAUGAAGCCUCUGGUGGGGACUGGAGGUGGGAGGUGGGCAGCUGGCAAGGAUCCAAACUGGUCUGCACUGGACAGUGGGCCUGCAAAGGGAGAGGAACUCCACAGCCCUGGGACAGCACCUGUGCUGUGUCAGCAGAGGGUCACGUCUGAAAGAGUGACAUUGCAAGAGGACACUCCAUGGAAAAGUGGAUUUUGAAGACUUCAUCACUCUACCUGUGUCUAAUCUAAUCAGUCCUGGCAUUUAUUUAUGGCAGACAAUUGCUGCUGUCACAGUGUUCAUUUAGUCAUUAAAAAUCCAGCAUUUUUGUGAUUCCUAGAAAGGAAAAAGGGUUGGGACAGAAUUCCAUGCAGCUGUGUGCAGUGUACAAUGCUCUGAAGUAAUUUGUUUCUCAUGAGCUGUUGAAAUGACACCCAGGGACUCAGAGGAUAAUAAGCCAAAUUAGGGAUGACUUUAACAUCCCUCUGCAAAGGGGGUCAUUGUCCUUCCAGAUAGCACCUGGACAUGCUGAGUUGCCACAGUCAGUUGGAGAGAAAAAGCAAGGAGUUGAUCUGGAUUAGUUCAAAUAUAACCACCAGUGUCAGUCCUCAAGUGAUGUUCUGACAGUUUGGGUAAAACAAAUCUUUUUGCCCCAGUGUGACAUCUUCCACAUGGGCACUGAAAACUCCCUGGUUGUCUGUGCUCCUGGAACUGGAGUCUUCAGUGAGGAAACAGCCUAGUAGGAGACAGAGGAGGAGGAAGGUCAAGUGUCUUGGAACACGUGGGCAGAAGUCUUGAUGGCAGCACAGGGUCUCUCAGAGUGGAGCUGAGAAUUGGGCAGGGACGAGGUCCUGUGCACCACAUUGCCUGAAGGUUCUGACUCCUGGCCUCCUCACAGGAACCAUCAGUGUGAAACACCUUUUUUUACCUGCUUCCCUUGAAUCCCUUCUGCCUCCAUUUGAAUGUGUCCCUGAGACUGACAAAGAUAAAAUCCUCCUUUUCAUCUGAUGCUCAUAAGGUGUUUGUUAUUGCCUCAGCUUCCCUUUCCAAGGUGUGUGGCAUGAAUGGACAUAACCAAAAAUGACCCCUCAGAGUUCAUAGUGCCAGCACUUUGUCCUCCUGCAAUGGUCCUCCCCAUUCUCCAGGCAGCUCCCAGUUAAUCCUGGGAAAAAGAUGCAUUUAACUCAUCAAUAAAACAAAACAAAACAAACA